rnacentral:rRNA from 1 species
AACGCGAAGAACCUUACCAGCCCUUGACAUGUCCAGGACCGGUCGCAGAGAUGUGACCUUCUCUUCGGAGCCUGGAGCACAGGUGCUGCAUGGCUGUCGUCAGCUCGUGUCGUGAGAUGUUGGGUUAAGUCCCGCAACGAGCGCAACCCCCGUCCUUAGUUGCUACCAUUUAGUUGAGCACUCUAAGGAGACUGCCGGUGAUAAGCCGCGAGGAAGGUGGGGAUGACGUCAAGUCCUCAUGGCCCUUACGGGCUGGGCUACACACGUGCUACAAUGGCGGUGACAAUGGGACGCUAAGGAGCAAUCCUUCGCAAAUCUCAAAAAGCCGUCUCAGUUCGGAUUGGACUCUGCAACUCGAGUCCAUGAAGUUGGAAUCGCUAGUAAUCGUGGAUCAGCAUGCCACGGUGAAUACGUUCCCGGGCCUUGUACACACCG